UACGUAGGGUGCGAGCGUUAAUCGGAAUUACUGGGCGUAAAGGGCGCGCAGGCGGUUCUGUUUGUCGAGUGUGAAAGCCCCGGGCUCAACCUGGGAACUGCGCUCGAAACGGCGGAACUAGAGUUCGGGAGAGGAGAGUGGAAUUCCCAGUGUAGAGGUGAAAUUCGUAGAUAUUGGGAAGAACACCGGUGGCGAAGGCGGCUCUCUGGACCGAUACUGACGCUGAGGCGCGAAAGCGUGGGGAGCGAACAGG
rnacentral:rRNA from 1 species